GAUGAAGAACGCAGUGAAAUGCGAUAAGUAGUGUGAAUUGCAGAAUUCAGUGAAUCAUCGAAUCUUUGAACGCACAUUGCGCCCGCUGGUAUUCCGGCGGGCAUGCCUGUUCGAGCGUCAUUUCAACCCUCAAGCCCCCGGGUUUGGUGUUGGGGAUCGGCUCUGCCUUCUGGCGGUGCCGCCCCCGAAAUACAUUGGCGGUCUCGCUGCAGCCUCCAUUGCGUAGUAGCUAACACCUCGCAACUGGAACGCGGCGCGGCCAUGCCGUAAAACCCCAACUUCUGAAUGUUGACCUCGGAUCAGGUAGGAAUACCCGCUGAACUUAAGCAUAUCAAUAAGCGGAGGA
rnacentral:misc_RNA from 1 species